UCAGAUUAUGUUCAAUAAGUUGUAUUCAAAUUAAUAUAAAAAUAAAAACUUAACUACAUCAUUUUUGUUUUAUGCAGCGUAUAUGUCAACUUGGGUAUAUGAAAUUAUAACUUCAAGUAAUUCUGCUGAAAAUGUAGCUAUUAAUGCUUCAAAAGAAACUGAUUUAACUGGUAA